ACUCGCGGGGAUUGUUUUCCACACCGUGGAAGCUUUGUUCUUUUCGUUUUUUGCAAUAAAUCUUGUUGCUGCUCGCUUUUUGGGUCCACAUUGCUUUUAUGAGCUGUACCACUCACCGUGAAGAUCUGCAGCUUCACUUCAGAGCCUAGCGAGACCACAAGCUCACUGAGAGGAACAAACAACUCCAGACGCGCUGUCUUAAGAGCUAUAACACUCACCGCGAAGGUGUGCAGUUUCACUCCUGAGCUAGUGAGACUACGAAGCCACUGGAACGAAGAAACUCCAACCACGUUUGAACAUCAGAAGGGGCAGACUCCAGACGCUUCAUCUUAAGAGCUGUAACACUCACUGUGAAGGUCUGCAGCUUCACUCCUGAGCCAGCGAGACCACGAACCGAUCUGAACAUCAGAAGGGACAGACUCCAGAUGCCCCACCUUAAGAGCUGUAAUACUCACUGCAAGGGUCUGCAGCUUCAUUCUUGAAGUCAGACCAAGAACCCAGCAAUUCCCAACACACAGGGACCAGCUUCUUUCCUAACUCACUUAGGCUCUUCGUGCUGCUCUGGCAACUAACACCCUUGGCUGCAGGGGCUUGGACACUACCCUUAGUCACUGACAAUUGUGUGAAGGCUGCUGUCGUUAACUUCACUUGAUCACCUUAGGCUCCUGUGAAGUGGUGAGCAAUUCAAACAAAUUCCUGUCGUCAAAUCAUAAUCCUGAUUUUGUUUGGAAGGACAGCGUGCCUGGUUCCAGGACUUGAAUCAUUCGUUUGUCCAGCAUCUCCAUGCUGUGUACGCUACCCGCCUGUUAGUCAUUGACACUGUCUGCUCCUGACAUCCACCCAUCAAUAUUGUCAUUGCUCAAUGAUCCAGGAUCACCGAGAGCAGAUGAGCCUCCUGAUGCAUGGUCAGAAGGAUAUACAUCUUUCCACACCAAUAGACCUUGUUUUCCGAUGUAGCAUUAUUUUUCAUAGUUGGCGAAUAUACAGUUAUGGAUUCAUAACAGCAAGAUGGAGAAAUUGCACUGCAGAGAAAUCUUUAAAAGCAAUUACCUAAUACUGCAGAUUGCUGAACUGUACCCACACCCAAGACUGAGCAUUGGAUCAAUCCAGAAUAUACAUCAGGUGUUCUGCAAUGUCUGCCUAAAACCAUGACUCUGCCUCCUCCAGCUGUUGCUACAUCUCACUAUGGGUUUCCUGUGACAUUUUGAGCAAGUAUGCCUCUGUGACUGGGGUUCUUACACUCCAGAAUGGAUGAGAAGCACCGAGCAUUCUAGCUAAGAAAUGAAGGAGGCGUGACAGAAAAUAACCAUUUUGCAGCUCCUUGUGGACUAAUGAAUAGAUGCAUUGAGCAAUAACAAUUGCUACUAUGAGAGAGAGAGAAAGAGAGAGAGAGAGCGCACGCCAGAUAUUAUAUAUCCUGAUGGAAGAAUACAGCACCACCUGUGAAAUAUUUCCCACUCCUCAUUCUCUGCUGGAAAAAAGGACCUGACUCUGAACAGGCCUCUAGAUACAACUACCAAGAGAGAGGAAGUACAGAGGGACAUGGGAAGCCACCAUGGGGAUGCCAUCAGCACUCUGGUCAGGGGAGAUGCUACAGGACAGCAAUGUGGCUUCCACCAGAAAUAAAAUGCAAGAAGGACCUUUAGAUUGAAAAAGACCUGAGACAUAACAACGAAUCACAGGCGUGGGCUUCAUUUAGAUCUUGACUGAAGCAAAUAAACCAUAAAAGGAAAUAAAAUUAUGAAAUGUAUGAGUCAACUGGAAAUUCAAAUAUGACUGGACAUGUGAUGGCCUGUUAAGAAACUAUCUUUGAUUGUUUACAGAUGUGAUUGUGGUAUUGUGAUUAUGUUGGGGGAGGGAAAGAAUUUAUCCUUUUAGUGACACAUACUGAAAUAUUUACAGAUUAAGUGAUAAGGUCUCUAGGAUUUGCUUCAAAUUAGUAUAAGAGUAGAGUACCUAGGGGCGGUUAAAAUGAAACAACAUUGUUCACGAGUUAAUUAUUUAAGAAUUUAAAGCAUAUGGACAUAUGGGGAUAUAUUAUACUAUUCUGUAU
ensembl:lncRNA novel transcript